CAAUAAACAAAGUAAAAAACAUUUUCACUGAUAUCUUUCCCCCAAAGGUUUCUAUAGAUAUCGUGAAUUCUUAAGGCCACAAAAACCAUGAUAUUAAUAAUUUAAUAUCGUGACAGCCCUAGUCUGGUUGUCGCAAACUAACUAUAUUCAUGUUAAAACAAAGUAAUACAGUUUGCGUGCACUUUAUAACAAGGCAUGGUAAGACAGGAAUUUUUUGCACACAGUAUUAAACAUUCAUCUUCAUUCAACUUCCACGUCACAACUCCGAUAUGAAUUAAAACAAAAAAUAAAAUAAACAAUUAUACUAACAGAAAGCAUAUACUUUGUGGUCAAAAUAGGAUUCAUGGCUAGAAAUAUAGGACCUCUGUGCACAUGCUAAUUGUUAAUUCUUUGUUUUGUUGAUCAGGUAAAAUUUACAGUGAAGAUGCCAGGCAUGCCAUAUAUCAGAGUGAUGAGAAGGCAGUGCUCUCUAUGUAAUCUUAUAUUCACGUUAAUCACAGACUACAAAUUACGUUUCAUUUGGUUGUUUUGACUUGUUUACUGAGUCCUUAUUUGGGAAACCACCUCCACUGAAGACUCAUGUUUUCUUUCUUUAAGCCUGGUCAUCUUGACCGUCUCCCCAUAGAGAAUGCACUGACACUCAUGUCCAAUAAGGGCCCCAUUGUUCCUCAGAUCAUUAAACUGCUGGAUUUGUUUUAUUUCGAGGAGCUCUGUGAUGGAAGCCUUGAAGAGAGGACAGCACAAAAUGUAAGGUGGCAGAACACUGAUGCUGCUAACAUUUGCGGGACAUUAAACUGGAGAACCUGCUGGUAAACCAGGACACCAUUGAGGUCAAUUUGACUGACACUGAGUGCAGCCUUUAAAGUUUUCCAUGGUAUGUGUUAUAUACAGAAAUGCAAUCUAUAGAUAGUCAACAUGCAGUAGUGAUGUAUUAAACAUCAGACAACAUUACUUUCCUGCAGGAACAAAAGUGUACGGUCCUUUAGAGUUCAGCAUGAAGGGCAUGUACUAUGCAAGGCCGAUGACAUUGUGGAGACUACGGUUCCUCCUGUGUGAAAUGGUUUGCAAGGAACAGCCUAUGACUGUCACGUGAUCAGUGUGGACCUCUGGACCAGAACUGGACUGUCACAAGUCUUUUUGAACAGAAUACUCCCAGAUGAUUUGUGGUUGUCUACAGCCUAAGCCACAGAAGAGAUCCAUGCUGGAAUGGUAAUACAGAAGCAAAAUAUAAGACUUGCAACAUAGAGGAUAAGCUAAUUGACUUAAUACUGACAUCAAGUAUUGUUUUACAUUUAAAUGAGCCUCAUCAUUCUAUGUCAGUACAGCAGCUCAAGUUCACAUUUGAAAUCAACACAACUGUCCCUGAAGCCUUGAAGCCUGAUCAAAUGUGUAACAAGCUCUACCAGGGCAUCUACCGCUCUGUGAGGAAGACACGCAGUGGUCGGGAGCAUCCCUAACGGCUUCAGCUGGGACUGAAGAUCAAGCAGCGCCUGUGGCUGAUGUUCAUCAAAAAAAAAAAGCGCUAUACAAAUAAAUAAUAAUAAUCUUGAAUCUGCCCAUCACUGGUGGAGACAGAGCAGCCUGACGGACGCGUCCUGAUCACGGAGAGCUUCUCCACAACCUGCAGAAGGUUCGCUCCUCAAAUACAUGUGGACAUCUGUUCCUGAGGAAUCCAGAAGAAAGAAGCCCAGACACGGAGUCACCACGGUCACAUGGAGCAUCACACAGUGGGACCUACAUUUGAAAAUAAUGUAUAAAUUGUACAUAGUUAUAGAGUAAGUUUAUAGUUUGUUAAAACAUUAUGAAGGUGUCAGUUUUGAGCAGCCCGUGAUGAGGAGAUAAAUCAUACGCUAAAAGAGCUGAGAGUGUUAAAUAUUAGCCUUCCACUGAUUAUUCAGUAUAUGUUGAAUUUCACAAUUGAUGGUAUAUACUGAAUUGUUCUCCCUAAAGAGAUUUGUAUUUAUUUUUUUCUGGUCGAAUCACACAGAGCGCGUUGCUUCGGUUUAUUCACAAACACAAACUCGCUGCAUUGUUAAAAUGCUUAACUUUGGUCCAG